rnacentral:rRNA from 1 species
AUUGAACGCUGGCGGCAGGCCUAACACAUGCCAGUCGAACGGUAACAGGAAGAAGCUUGCUUCUUUGCUGACGAAUGGCGGACGGGUGAGUAAUGUCUGGGAAACUGCCUGAUGGAGGGGGAUAACUACUGGAAACGGUAGCUAAUACCGCAUAACGUCGCAAGACCAAAAAGGGGGACCUUCGGGCCUCUUGCCAUCGGAUGUGCCCAGAUGGGAUUAGCUAGUAGGUGGGGUAACGGCUCACCUAGGCGACGAUCCCUAGCUGGUCUGAGAGGAUGACCAGCCACACUGGAACUGAGACACGGUCCAGACUCCUACGGGAGGCAGCAGUGGGGAAUAUUGCACAAUGGGCGCAAGCCUGAUGCAGCCAUGCCGCGUGUAUGAAGAAGGCCUUCGGGUUGUAAAGUACUUUCAGCGGGGAGGAAGGGAGUAAAGUUAAUACCUUUGCUCAUUGACGUUACCCGCAGAAGAAGCACCGGCUAACUCCGUG